AAUUAUUUAUUGAAACUUAAAUAAUNUGGCGGUAUUUUAGUUCAUUUAGAGGAAUCUGUUUAUUAAUUGAUAAUCCACGAAUGAAUUUACUUAAUUUAAAAUUUUGUAUAUCGUUGUUAAAAAAAUAUUUUUAAAUGAAAAUAAUAUUUUAAUUUUAUAAUUAAAAAUUAAAUCAGAUCAAGAUGCAGAUUAUAAUUAAGAAUAUAAUGGAUUACAAUAAAUUUAUUUAAAUGAAUUUUUUUUUGUAAUAAAAAUUUGAAAGUGGAUUUAAAUGUAAUUUUAUUUAUUUUAAUAAAAUGAUUAUAUAUUAAAAUAUGUACAUAUUGCCCGUCGCUUUCAUAAAUAAAUUGGAAUAAGUCGUAACAAAGUAGAGGUACUGGAAAGUGUUUCUAGAAAUAA
rnacentral:rRNA from 1 species